rfam:Salmo salar isolate Sally breed double haploid chromosome ssa09, whole genome shotgun sequence.
UGCAUUCACUACUGUAAGUCGCUCUGGACAAGAGCGUCUGCUAAAUACCUAAAA